rnacentral:rRNA from 1 species
UACAGAGGGUGCGAGCGUUAAUCGGAAUUACUGGGCGUAAAGCGUGCGUAGACGGCUAUCUAAGUCGGGUGUGAAAGCCCCGGGCUCAACCUGGGAAUUGCAUUCGAGACUGAAUAGCUAGGGUACGGUAGAGGGAAGCGGAAUUUCCGGUGUAGCGGUGAAAUGCGUAGAGAUGUGGAGGAAUACCGAUGGCGAAGGCAGCCCCCUGGGCCAAUACUGACGCUCAUGCACGAAAGCGUGGGGAGCAAACAGG